AGUGAACGCUGGCGGUAGGCCUAACACAUGCAAGUCGAACGGCAGCACAGUAAGAGCUUGCUCUUACGGGUGGCGAGUGGCGGACGGGUGAGGAAUACAUCGGAAUCUACUUUUUCGUGGGGGAUAACGUUGGGAAACUUACGCUAAUACCGCAUACGACCUACGGGUGAAAGCAGGGGAUCUUCGGACCUUGCGCGAUUGAAUGAGCCGAUGUCGGAUUAGCUAGUUGGCGGGGUAAAGGCCCACCAAGGCGACGAUCCGUAGCUGGUCUGAGAGGAUGAUCAGCCACACUGGAACUGAGACACGGUCCAGACUCCUACGGGAGGCAGCAGUGGGGAAUAUUGGACAAUGGGCGCAAGCCUGAUCCAGCCAUACCGCGUGGGUGAAGAAGGCCUUCGGGUUGUAAAGCCCUUUUGUUGGGAAAGAAAAGCAGCAGGUUAAUACCCCGCUGUUCUGACGGUACCCAAAGAAUAAGCACCGGCUAACUUCGUG
rnacentral:rRNA from 1 species